UACGUAUUGGUCAAGCGUUUUCCUUAUUUAUUGGGCGUAAAGCGCCCUCAUGCGGCUUUCCAAGUUCGAUGUGAAAUCUCCCGGCUCAACUGGGAGGGUGCACGGGAAACCGGAAGGCUAGAGACUCGGAGGGGGGUGCGGAAUUCCCGGUGGAGCGGUGAAAUGCGUUGAUAUCGGGAGGAACACCCGAGGAGAAGGCGGCAAAAUGGUCGAGGUCUGACGCUGAAGAGAGAAAGCGUGGGGAGCGAACGGG
rnacentral:rRNA from 1 species